UAAGUUGCCAGUUUGAGCUUGUGUGUGUUUGUACUUUGGUACUUUGUCGUCUUCGUUUGCGUGCCCGUUUUUCGCAUGGACCAAUCAGCGCUGAUCCCGGGCUUUUCUACCUCGUUGAAAAUAAAAACCGCCUCCUUGACGAAACACAUUUUCUUAAACAUGGUAACGUAUGAAUACGCAAAAAAUUUCGAAAUAUAUUUAAACUGUCGAGGAAAUACUUCAAUUAUAUAAACUUAGUAAUAUCGUUUUACAAAUUCAAACCAAAUGUUCACGUGAGGCACUCUUUCUUUGCGCGGGUAACCGCGCGCGGCGUAUGAAUGUUUAUUUAAGUCAAAUCUGAAAAAACCGUUGCACAGAAGAAGAGUCUCCGGCGAAACAGUACGAGGUUUCAGAUGAAGCGUCAUCCAAAAUUGAUUGUGAUUAAGAGAAAUGGAGAAGACGGUUCCGAAUACCCGGUCACCACAGGCCGCUGCGAGAUUGGAAGGCUGCGGCAGUAGAAAGACCCG